rnacentral:rRNA from 6 species
UGACUGGGGUGAAGUCGUAACAAGGUAGCCGUAUCGGAAGGUGCGGCUGGAUCACCUCCUUUCCAG